rnacentral:rRNA from 1 species
AUGAUUAAUUUUCGGGAUGCACUUCAAGCUUGUGGCCUCACUGAUCUUGGUUUUUCAGGGCACCCCUUCACAUAUGAUAAUAGGCGGAGUGGCCGGGCGAACGUCCAAGUUCGGCUGGAUAGAGCGGUGGCGUCCGAUGACUGGAGAGACAUGUUUAUGCAAGCUUCGGUGGCACACCUUGUGUCGCCAGCGUCGGACCAUAGUCCGAUGCUCCUCAAGUUCUCGCUGGAACAGGACAGGCGGCCUCGCAGCAGCCACCGGUACGAGUUGAUGUGGGAGAGAUCGCCGGCUUUAGAGGCCAUUAUCGCAAACUCUUGGUCAAGCAAAGGUACGAAGAGGAACCUGGGAGAUGUAAGGGAGGCCCUUGCUACUGUUAUGGCUGAUCUACACACUUGGAGUAAUAAAACUUUUGGCAAUGUUACACGGGAGCUAGAGAAGUCACGUACUAGGCUUGAGGAACUCACCAAUAUGAAUGCAGACCGAACUGAAAUAAGACUGGAGAUGGACAAGAUGAAUGAUCUGUAAUACAGGGAGGAAAUGUUG